rnacentral:rRNA from 1 species
AUACGUAGGUGACAAGCGUUAUCCGGAUUUACUGGGCGUAAAGGGCGUGUAGGCGGUCUUGCAAGUCAGAAGUGAAAUUCCUGAGCUCAACUCGGGCGCUGCUUCUGAAACUGCAGGACUUGAGUGCUGGAGGGGAUAGCGGAAUUCCUAGUGGAGCGGUAAAAUGCGCAGAUAUUAGGAAGAACACCGGUGGCGAAGGCGGCUAUCUGGACAGUAACUGACGCUGAGGCGCGAAAGCGUGGGGAGCAAACAGGAUUAGAUACCCUGGUAGUCCACGCUGUAAACGAUGAAUACUAGGUGUAGGGGGUAUCGACUCCCUCUGUGCCGCAGUUAACACAAUAAGUAUUCCGCCUGGGGAGUACGGCCGCAAGGUUGAAACUCAAAUGAAUUGACGGGG